CCUACGGGUGGCAGCAGUGAGGAAUAUUGGUCAAUGGACGAGAGUCUGAACCAGCCAAGUAGCGUGAAGGAUGACUGCCCUAUGGGUUGUAAACUUCUUUUAUAUGGGAAUAAAAUGUUCCACGUGUGGGAUUUUGUAUGUACCAUAUGAAUAAGGAUCGGCUAACUCCGUGCCAGCAGCCGCGGUAAUACGGAGGAUCCGAGCGUUAUCCGGAUUUAUUGGGUUUAAAGGGAGCGUAGGUGGAUUGGUAAGUCAGUUGUGAAAGUUUGCGGCUCAACCGUAAAAUUGCAGUUGAAACUGGGAGUCUUGAGUACAGUAGAGGUGGGCGGAAUUCGUGGUGGAGCGGGGAAAUGCUUAGAUAUCGCGAAGAACUCCGAUUGCGAAGGCAGCUCACUGGACUGCAACUGACACUGAGGCUCGAAAGUGUGGGUAUCAAACAGGAUUAGAUACCCUGGUAGUC
rnacentral:rRNA from 1 species